rnacentral:lncRNA from 10 species
AGCAGCCAAUGUGAAUGCGACAAGUUCCCGAUCCAGGCGUCCCGCUCUCCCCGGCCCCACUCGCCAGGUCCUACCACGAUGCCUGACUCGUUUGCGGCUUUGGGACCGGUUGUAGGUGGCUUGACCGUCACUAGUAGACGUUUCUGAGUGUGUCGCGGUCACCAUGGGGAGGUUCCCUGCUCAAGCUCUCUUCUCUUGUCUGCUGCCAUGUGAGACGUGCCUUUGACCUUCUGCCAUGAUUGUGAGGCCUCCCCAGCCACGUGAAACUGAUUUGCACUGGAUAGAACGUUCAGUCCAAUGUGAAAUGCAAGUGGUGAUAGCAAGAACGUCUCAUCUGUGAUCUCAGAGGGAACAUGUUCUACACCCUCAGCCCUCUGUGUCGCUGGACUCUGCAUCUGAGGACCCAGCCAAAAACUGGUCAAAAAUACUUUUUAAAAUCCCAA